GAUGAACGCUGGCGGCGUGCUUAACACAUGCAAGUCGAACGGAAAGGCCAGUGCUUGCACUGGUACUCGAGUGGCGAACGGGUGAGUAACACGUGGGUGAUCUGCCCUGCACUUCGGGAUAAGCCUGGGAAACUGGGUCUAAUACCGGAUAGGACAAUGGUUUGGAUGCCGUUGUGGAAAGUUUUUUCGGUGUGGGAUGAGCUCGCGGCCUAUCAGCUUGUUGGUGGGGUAAUGGCCUACCAAGGCGUCGACGGGUAGCCGGCCUGAGAGGGUGUACGGCCACAUUGGGACUGAGAUACGGCCCAGACUCCUACGGGAGGCAGCAGUGGGGAAUAUUGCACAAUGGGCGCAAGCCUGAGGCAGCGACGCCGCGUGGGGGAUGACGGCCUUCGGGUUGUAAACUCCUUUCGCUAGGGACGAAGCGUAUUUGUGACGGUACCUGGAGAAGAAGCACCGGCUAACUACGUG
rnacentral:rRNA from 1 species